rnacentral:lncRNA from 1 species
ACAACAUAUGUCUAUAUGUUACAAUUCCUGAAAUUCGUCUCAGACAGCAAAACCGUGCACAAUUUCCUCACAAAUAGACACCUAAAAAAAGUGAAAACAAACGACAAGAGUGUAGCAGAGGGUAUCUAGGUUUGUCUGUGUCACGUCUAGCCGUCUCUGUGUACACUGAAGCAGAAGAGGACAGAUAUAAAUAUGUAAAACAGAGCAAAGGUAUGCUGUCUGCCGUUACAGCUGAUCCUGCAGAAGUAUCAAGGGUGAAGGCUCGCUGACAUAUUGCAGUAUAACAUUGCUGUCAGAAGUCUUAAAAAUUAUGAAAACCAUAAAAGGAAUGUGAACUUAAUUCCCUGAUGGUUAGAUCCUUGAACCACAGGGUUUUGAUCCAGUAAACUUUAAAGAUGAAUAUAAGGAACAGUACACUUUAUCACCUUUCGAAGACAACCACUUCAGAAACAUCAAAACAAUGUUGCGCACAUUGCAAUAAGCUGCUUUUAGAGUAGCAUACCGGUCACAUAAAACGUAAUUGUCUAGAUUCAGCCAAACAGAGAGAAGCGCUGCAUGUUUAGGAGGAAAUGGAUUUCCCUACAUGCUAUUCCAUUAAGAGCCACUUGAUACUGAGGUCAUUUUAUGGAGGACAGACGACCUGCGUCCUUGACUAAGCCAAGAUGAAAGCGGAAAUGAUACCACCUAGCCAAGCCAUCAUGACUUAUAAACCAACGACCAUGCAGCGUUCUGUGAAGAGCAUCUAAUAUUACUCUCAUCAUAUGACCGCGUCUAUAAAUACCUACUGGUCUAUUCAGACACACUUGGGGGAAAGGCUUCCUGUGGGCUACAGCGACAGAAGAUUCAUUUUGAAGGUCAACAGAAGCAGAUGUGAGAACAUCAGGGAAAGAAUCCAAGAAAAUCUGCCGCAACAAAACAGUUUUGCCAACAAAAACUGGAUCCUGACUUCACGGCCCUGCAGACGCCACACCUCAUUAUGGAAGCAGAACUGUAAAUUAAGACGAUCACUCUCUAAUUUCAAGAUGCACACUGUCAGUUUAAAAAGAAAUGCCUCUGAGAUCUAA